rnacentral:pre_miRNA from 1 species
UUUGUACUCCCUCCGUCCCAAAAUUCUUGUCUUACAUUUGUUUAGAUACGGAUGUAUCUAGUAGAUACAUCUGUAUUUAGACAAAUUUAAGACAAGAAUUUUGGGACAGAGGGAAUACUAC